GUGCUCGCUUCCGCAGCACAUAUACUAAAAUCUGAGUGAUACAGAGUAGAUUAGCAUGACCCCUGUGCAAGGAUGACACGCAAAUUCGUGAUGUCUUCCAUAUUUAA